ACGGUUAGCUGACGUGACGGAGAUCAUUACCGAGUGUAGGGUUCCUAGCGAGCCCAACCUCCCACCCGUGUUUACUGUACCUUAGUUGCUUCGGCGGGCCCGCCAUUCAUGGCCGCCGGGGGCUCUCAGCCCCGGGCCCGCGCCCGCCGGAGACACCACGAACUCUGUCUGAUCUAGUGAAGUCUGAGUUGAUUGUAUCGCAAUCAGUUAAAACUUUCAACAAUGGAUCUCUUGGUUCCGGCAUCGAUGAAGAACGCAGCGAAAUGCGAUAACUAGUGUGAAUUGCAGAAUUCCGUGAAUCAUCGAGUCUUUGAACGCACAUUGCGCCCCCUGGUAUUCCGGGGGGCAUGCCUGUCCGAGCGUCAUUGCUGCCCAUCAAGCACGGCUUGUGUGUUGGGUCGUCGUCCCCUCUCCGGGGGGGACGGGCCCCAAAGGCAGCGGCGGCACCGCGUCCGAUCCUCGAGCGUAUGGGGCUUUGUCACCCGCUCUGUAGGCCCGGCCGGCGCUUGCCGAACGCAAAUCAAUCUUUUUCCAGGUUGACCUCGGAUCAGGUAGGGAUACCCGCUGAACUUAAGCAUAUCAAA
rnacentral:rRNA from 1 species